UUUUUUAUUAGAUUCGCUCGAAUAAAUCAUUGGUAAAGAAACAAAAGAAGUCAGAAGAAGACAGAGGUGACCUAAAGGAAUGCGAGGUCAGCUAUGUCAAGAAAUUCCAAAGUUUUGAGGACCGGAGACUACGUGUGAAUCAAGAAGACCAAAGCAAUCUAGAGCGUGCACAAACAAGUGGAAAAUUACACGAAGAGUUACUUGAUAGGCGAGAAAAGAUGAAAGCUGAUCGGUAUUGCAAAUGAACAAAAAGAGGGCAGCAG